ensembl:misc_RNA Metazoa_SRP Metazoan signal recognition particle RNA
UCUAUAGGCACUUGCCUAUAAUCCCAGCUCCUAGGAAGGCUGAGGCCAGUGGAUCUCUAGAGCUCAGGAGAUCUGAGUUUCGGUAGGCUAAGUUGAUCAAGUAUCUGUAUUGACUGGCAUCAAUAUGGUGAUCUCCUAGGAUGGAAGGUGGGGCACCAGGUUGCCCAAGGGGGAAUAAACCAGCCCAGGUCAGAAAUGGAGGUGGUCAAAGCUUUCAUGUUGUAAUGAGAUCAGGUCUGUGAAUAGCCCCUGUACUUCCAGAAUGGGGUGGAUGGGGAGAUCCAGUCUCUC